CUACGGGGUGCAGCAGUGGGGAAUAUUGCACAAUGGAGGAAACUCUGAUGCAGCAACGCCGCGUGGAGGAUGACACUUUUCGGAGCGUAAACUCCUUUUAUAUAGGAAGAAGAUGACGGUACUAUAUGAAUAAGCACCGGCUAACUCCGUGCCAGCAGCCGCGGUAAUACGGGGGGUGCAAGCGUUACUCGGAAUCACUGGGCGUAAAGCGAGCGCAGGCGGAUAGAAAAGUCAGAAGUGAAAUCCUAUAGCUUAACUAUAGAACUGCUUCUGAAACUCUUUAUCUAGAAUAUGGGAGAGGUAGAUGGAAUUUCUGGUGUAGGGGUAAAAUCCGUAGAGAUCAGAAGGAAUACCGAUUGCGAAGGCGAUCUACUGGAACAUUAUUGACGCUGAGGCUCGAAAGCGUGGGGAGCAAACAGGAUUAGAUACCCGCGUAGUC
rnacentral:rRNA from 1 species